GACGAACGCUGGCGGCGUGCUUAACACAUGCAAGUCGAACGGGCUCAUCGCUUUGGUGGUGGGUUAGUGGCGAACGGGUGAGUAACACGUGGGUGACCUGCCUCAUACUUUGGGAUAAGCCUGGGAAACUGGGUCUAAUACCGGAUAGGACUGCGCUCUGCAUGGGGUGUGGUGGAAAGCUUUGGCGGUAUGGGAUGGGCCCGCGGCCUAUCAGCUUGUUGGUGCGGUAGUGGCGUACCAAGGCGA
rnacentral:rRNA from 1 species